rnacentral:sRNA from 1 species
UCCUUUCAGUGACUUUGCUUCACUUUUCAAGUUUUCAUCUUUUAAAUUAUACUUAAUCAGUGCCAAACAAAAAAUGUAAAAAUCCUUCAUUGAUCUGUAAAGUUUAUAUUAAAUUGUGUCUUGUUAUUUUAUUUGAACACUACUAAUCAAAUACAGUGUUCUAAUAGAUUCCGGGUCCUCAUAUGUUACAAUAUUUUCUUAUUUGUUUUGUCUCAGAGUAACAUUUAGUCCUGAAUAUUUAUCUUGGAGAUGAAAGUAACAGCAAUGGACUUGUAUUAAUUUUACAAGCAUACUGUGUUAUAAAAUUUAAUUUGUCUUUCUCUAAACAGUAAGAUUAUAUUUAUACAUGUAGUAUGUUUAUCAGAUUACAGUGUCUUCAUUUUCUGUAAACCAGUAUUACACAGGGAUCAUUUGCUAUCUUUUAAUCUCUGAUAUAUAGGUUCAAUAUGUUAAGUACAUGUAUCUUUGUAAACAACUGAACUGUUUCAAGUUCUCUCAUUUCUAAACAUAGAGUUGUGUUAUUUAUAGGUAGGAAAAGUGAGAAAAAACUGAGGGUUUCAUGCAGUAUUAACAUUUAUUUACAUUUUGUAAAACAGGCAAAUGGAGAACUUUUGACAACAAAUAAUGAUUUCCCUUUUAAUGAAAAAAUGUUAAAGCUUCAACGUAUGAUUGAAAUAUUUUGUUGGUUGAUUUUUUCUACUAUUUCGUUAUCAUUUUGCUUGAUCUGUUCAUUUGAAUUCUAUAUAUAUACCUUCAUGUACAUCUCAUAGUAGAAUGAUAGUUGAUUUGUUUGCUACCAGCCUUCCGCUGUUUGUCGCUUUGUUUUUGUGUGCAGAUCAAUUCACCAUUGGUCCAUUUGAUGGUUACUAGUCCACAGUUUUACUGCUACUAUUCUGUUGAAUUCGGUUUGGGAAGUUUGUUUAAAGAUUCAGAUAUUGAAUGUUUCAACCUUAUAAUGAUAAAAGUGUAUUCAUGAUAUAUAUUAUUAUAUAUGCAUAGAUAUCUAUAUAGAUCUAUUAUUAUUAAAACAUAUCAACAGC